GAUGAACGCUGGCGGCGUGCCUAAUACAUGCAAGUCGAGCGAACGGACGAGAAGCUUGCUUCUCUGAUGUUAGCGGCGGACGGGUGAGUAACACGUGGAUAACCUACCUAUAAGACUGGGAUAACUUCGGGAAACCGGAGCUAAUACCGGAUAAUAUUUUGAACCGCAUGGUUCAAAAGUGAAAGACGGUCUUGCUGUCACUUAUAGAUGGAUCCGCGCUGCAUUAGCUAGUUGGUAAGGUAACGGCUUACCAAGGCAACGAUGCAUAGCCGACCUGAGAGGGGUGUUCGCCACACUGGAACUGAGACACGGUCCAGACUCCUACGGGAGGCAGCAGUAGGGAAUCUUCCGCAAUGGGCGAAAGCCUGACGGAGCAACGCCGCGUGAGUGAUGAAGGUCUUCGGAUCGUAAAACUCUGUUAUUAGGGAAGAACAUAUGUGUAAGUAACUGUGCACAUCUUGACGGUACCUAAUCAGAAAGCCACGGCUAACUACGUG
rnacentral:rRNA from 1 species